rnacentral:rRNA from 1 species
UAGUCAUAUGCUUGUCUCAAAGAUUAAGCCAUGCAUGUCUCAGUACAAGCCUAAUUAAGGUGAAACCGCGAAAGGCUCAUUAAAUCAGUUAUGGUUCCUUAGAUCGUACCCACAAUUACUUGGAUAACUGUGGUAAUUCUAGAGCUAAUACAUGCAAACAGAGCUCCGACCGGAGACGGAAGGAGUGCUUUUAUUAGAUCAAAACCAAUCGGUGGCGGGCUUGCUCGUCAUCGUACAACUUGGUGACUCUGAAUAACUUUCCGCUGAUCGCACGGUCUCGCACUGGCGACGCAUCUUUCAAAUGUCUGCCUUAUCAACUGUCGAUGGUAGGUUCUGCGCCUACCAUGGUUGUAACGGGUAACGGGGAAUCAGGGUUCGAUUCCGGAGAGGGAGCCUGAGAAACGGCUACCACAUCCAAGGAAGGCAGCAGGCGCGCAAAUUACCCACUCCCAGCACGGGGAGGUAGUGACGAAAAAUAACGAUACGGGACUCAUCCGAGGCCCCGUAAUCGGAAUGAGAACACUCUAAACCCUUUAACGAGGAUCAAUUG